rnacentral:lncRNA from 1 species
AAAAAAUAAAAAUUAAUUUUAAUUUAAAAUAAGGAUGUUUUAGUAAUUUAAUAUAUAUGAAUUAAAAAAAAAAUUGAGGGGUGGCCGUGGCCUUCCCACGUCCCCCCAGUUCCGCCACUGGUGUACACCACUCUAUGUUUCAGUAACUUAGCAUAGUUUUAGGUUUGUUUUAGCUUAGUUGUAUUCAACAUUCAUCAUUAUUU